rnacentral:rRNA from 1 species
UACGGAAGGGGCAAGCGUUGUUCGGAAUCAUUGGGCGUAAAGGGCGUGUAGGUGGUUCUGUAUGUCUGCCGUGAAAGCGUACGGCUCAACCGUAUUUAGUCGGUAGAAACUGCAGGACUUGAGGCUGGGAGGGGCUGGUGGAAUUCCCCGUGUAGCGGUGAAAUGCGUAGAGAUGGGGGAGAACACUCGUGGCGAAGGCGGCCAGCUAGACCAGUUCUGACACUGAGGCGCGACAGCGUGGGGAGCAAACAGG